rnacentral:rRNA from 1 species
GCUUACGGCCAUACCACCCUGAAUACGCCCGAUCUCGUCUGAUCUCGGAAGCUAAGCAGGGUCAUGCCUGGUUAGUACUUGGAUGGGAGACCGCCUGGGAAUACCAGGUGCUGUAAGCU